AGAGCCGCUGGUGCUUCCCAGGCCGUCGCGCUCCUGGCCGCGCACCCAGCCAGGGACCCAGAGGCCCUCAGCCCCGGGCUCUGCGCGUACACUGAGGGCGCGGCGCAGCAGGACAGCAAGAUAAGGAAGCAGAGACUGAAGGGAGGAAUCCCCGCUUUCCGGGGAUGAUGGCGUUCGAGUUGGGUCUGUGAGGGAUGAAAUAGGAGUUGGCCAGAGGGAGAGAGGGACUCUAGGCCUCGAGAAGAGCACGUGCAGAGGUUCCGUGACACGAAAACGCCAGCCCCAAACCAGGCCUGA
rnacentral:lncRNA from 1 species